rnacentral:rRNA from 1 species
CCUGAACGCUGGCGGCGUGGUUAAGACAUGCAAGUCGCACGGGUGUAGCAAUACACCAGUGGCGGACGGGUGAGUAAUGUAUCGCUAACGUGCCCUUCAGACGGGGAUAGCCAUCCGAAAGGGUGGGUAAUACUCGAUGAGACCACAGUGUCGCAUGACACGGUGCUCAAAGGCCGCAAGGCGCUGAUGGAGCGGGCGAUAUCGUAUCAGCAGUUGGUGAGGUAACGGCUCACCAAGGCGACGACGCGUAGCCGGACUGAGAGGUUGGCCGGCCACAUUGGGACUGAGACACUGCCCA